rnacentral:rRNA from 1 species
UACGUAGGGGGCUAGCGUUGUCCGGAAUCAUUGGGCGUAAAGCGCGUGUAGGCGGCUCGAUAAGUCUGCUGUGAAAGUCCAGGGCUCAACCCUGGAAGGCCGGUGGAAACUGUCGGGCUAGAGUCCGGAAGGGGCGAGUGGAAUUCCUGGUGUAGCGGUGAAAUGCGCAGAUAUCGUCAAGAACACCUAUUGCGAAGGCAGCUCACUAAGCUUUAACUGACACUGAGGCACGAAAGUGUGGGGAUCAAACAGG